AGAGUUUGAUCCUGGCUCAGAUUGAACGCUGGCGGCAGGCCUAACACAUGCAAGUCGAGCGGCAGCACGGGAAGCUUGCUUCCUGGUGGCGAGCGGCGGACGGGUGAGUAAUGCAUAGGAAUCUGCCCGGUAGUGGGGGAUAACCUGGGGAAACCCAGGCUAAUACCGCAUACGUCCUACGGGAGAAAGCAGGGGCUCUUCGGACCUUGCGCUAUCGGAUGAGCCUAUGUCGGAUUAGCUGGUUGGUGAGGUAAUGGCUCACCAAGGCGACGAUCCGUAGCUGGUCUGAGAGGAUGAUCAGCCACAUCGGGACUGAGACACGGCCCGAACUCCUACGGGAGGCAGCAGUGGGGAAUAUUGGACAAUGGGCGCAAGCCUGAUCCAGCCAUGCCGCGUGUGUGAAGAAGGCCUUCGGGUUGUAAAGCACUUUCAGUGGGGAAGAAAGCCUUUCGGUUAAUACCCGGAAGGAAGGACAUCACCCACAGAAGAAGCACCGGCUAACUCCGUGCCAGCAGCCGCGGUAAUACGGAGGGUGCGAGCGUUAAUCGGAAUUACUGGGCGUAAAGCGCGCGUAGGUGGCUUGAUAAGCCGGUUGUGAAAGCCCCGGGCUCAACCUGGGAACGGCAUCCGGAACUGUCAGGCUAGAGUGCAGGAGAGGAAGGUAGAAUUCCCGGUGUAGCGGUGAAAUGCGUAGAGAUCGGGAGGAAUACCAGUGGCGAAGGCGGCCUUCUGGACUGACACUGACACUGAGGUGCGAAAGCGUGGGUAGCAAACAGGAUUAGAUACCCUGGUAGCCCGCCGUAAACGAUGUCGACUAGCCGUUGGGUCCUUCGCGGACUUUGUGGCGCAGUUAACGCGAUAAGUCGACCGCCUGGGGAGUACGGCCGCAAGGUUAAAACUCAAAUGAAUUGACGGGGGCCCGCACAAGCGGUGGAGCAUGUGGUUUAAUUCGAUGCAACGCGAAGAACCUUACCUACCCUUGACAUCCUGCGAACCCUUCGGAGACGAAGGGGUGCCUUCGGGAACGCAGAGACAGGUGCUGCAUGGCUGUCGUCAGCUCGUGUUGUGAAAUGUUGGGUUAAGUCCCGUAACGAGCGCAACCCUUGUCCCUAUUUGCCAGCGAUUCGGUCGGGAACUCUAGGGAGACUGCCGGUGACAAACCGGAGGAAGGUGGGGACGACGUCAAGUCAUCAUGGCCCUUACGGGUAGGGCUACACACGUGCUACAAUGGUCGGUACAAAGGGUUGCGAACUUGCGAAAGUAAGCUAAUCCCAGAAAGCUGAUCUCAGUCCGGAUCGGAGUCUGCAACUCGACUCUGUGAAGUCGGAAUCGCUAGUAAUCGUGAAUCAGAAUGUCACGGUGAAUACGUUCCCGGGCCUUGUACACACCGCCCGUCACACCAUGGGAGUGGACUGCACCAGAGGUGGUUAGCCUAACCUUCGGGAGGGCGAUCACCACGGUGUGGUUCAUGACUGGGGUGAAGUCGUAACAAGGUAGCCGU
rnacentral:rRNA from 1 species